AUGUAUUUUUAGUAGAGGGGCAGUUUCGCCAUGUUGGUCAGGCUGAUCUUGAACUCCUAACCUCAGGUGAUCCACCCACCUCAGCCUCCCAAAGUGCUGGGAUUACAGGCGUGAGCCACUGCGCCCGGCCAUGCCUUUCUUUAAUUUCUCCAAAUUACUGAUUUUCAUUUAGCACCAUCCUCCCUGCUGUGUUCCCCGCUUCCUAUGUCCCUGUUUUUCCUUCAGAGACAACCUAAUAUCAGACCUUAUUAUAGAAAGAAAUGUCAACACAAGGCUCUGGGUUUCGCUGGUUCUAGAACCAGUCAUGGUAGGAGUGAAGUUUGCUUUGUACUUGCAGUGCAAGAAGUCUUGGAAUUGUCUGUUUGCUCUAAGUGUCUAGAUGAACUUUUUUCUAUAUAUGAAUUUUUCUGUAUACAGAAUUAGGGCAUUAUGUUUAAGUGGUGAUUUGCGGAUAUGUGUCUGAUCUGCUCACUGGACCCUUACUUUUUCAGCAGCAGCUCGCUGGCCGUCAGCUCAUGGGUCAGGGGAGGUAAGAUGCUGGACCCCAGCUUGUCGGUGCGGCUGUCGUCCGGGCUGACUGCCAUGUGGUUCUUGCCUGCAGAGUCGUCCUGCGAGCCGAAGGACAGAUGCUCGAAGCUCACGGCCUUGCUGUAGGAGGGUGGGGCCUCCACAUCCCCUUCCAAGGUGGAGAACUGUGUCAGCUCUUCCUCUGGGGUGAGGCUGGCCUCCUCGGCACCCAUGGCUCCCACAUCGUACCCAGUGGCCUCGUACUCCUUGGCCUCCCUGGGCUCAGGCGCCAUGCUCCCUGCCUCCUCCUCCUGCUCAGCCUCCACUUCCUCGAUGGUCUCAGUGGUGCCCUGGCGUGAGUACAGCAUGGUACACUGCGUGGGCUCACUGUUGGGAGAAAGGGUGGGCACAGAGCCCAUGUCUUAGCAUCCACACUCCUGGGGUUCUUUCCCAUUCCUGAGAGACCUCAUCAGAACUCCUAAGGAAAUGCCCCAUUUUCCCCCCUGCAUUCCAUCUGCUUUGUUCUUUUAGGAUAAUCACUCCUGUUCUGCAGCCACUGCAAACAGCAGCCUCUCCAAUGCAAAUGUUGACAGUGCACACACACAGUUUAGAACCAGAGCCAGUCACGUGGCUCUCAAAGAGCAAAACCCACCCCCGUAACAAGUGUGGAGUAUCUAGAUUCACAGCCUCGGGUUCCAGAGUCUGUUGCCAUAUCAACACAGCACAGCUUACCCACUGCUCUGUCUGCUUCAAGGAGGGGCAUCUCUGGAGGGCAGAAGCUCUGAAGGUUUUGACCAAGAGCUAAGUCUUAGCAAACAGGGCUUGUUGGAUGCCAUGAUGGAGAGAACCCACUGCCUAAAACCCUCAUCUCCUGGUACCCAACGGAGCAGUGACUGGCGAGGGAAGAUGGCAGAUCCAGGCCUAGGAUGCUGCUGGGUGAGGAUGCUCAUGAGAGGAAGCACACAGAGGUGUGACACAGGCGUAGUUUCAGUUCCCACACAUGGCUCAACCCCAAAGAGGGACAGACAGCCCAAAGAUCCUCUACAGAAAGCAACUGGAAUACUUAUCUUCCAACUUGUGUGCUCAUGGGCUGGCUGACCCAGGGAACAGAAACAGACCUUUAGUGAUAUAGGUUGCCUGAUUUCCAGGCUGAACGUGGUAGGCUGAACUCUGUCAUCAAGUGAACUCACUGGGAGAGUACUAGGUGCCUGGCCUGCACAGCCAUACACUGUUGGCUAAGGAUCCGGAGGCAGAGAUGGAAGACGUUCAGGAUGCAAUGACCACUGCAAGCUUGGGAGGAGUGAAUCUGAGUUAUUCACUCAUGGAACCUGUUAAAAGAGUUUUUCAGGUCCCAUGUGCUGGAGCACAAGCCAUAACUGCUCCAGUGGGGCCGGCCAUGCUGCUGUGCAUGUCACAGCUAUGUGGCCAAGACAGGGGCAGCCAGUGAGGGCGAUAAGCCUGUGAGCAACCAAAAUACUCUCUAAUAAGGACAUUGAGGCUGUUUUGUUUUGUUUUCUUUUCUUUUGUUUUGCCCUAACUCUUUUAGAUGUCACAAUGUCACCAUGUCCUGGACAAAAUGAGGAGACAAUGACAAGAUAAAUUAGAAAAGCAUCGGACGAACACAGUGAGGACUGGGAUGCUGACAUUAACUGGCUGUUUGGUUUUAGAUGAAUCAGUGCCCCUUUCUGGGGCCCCAAUUUUAUGUUUCUGAGAUGAGGGGACUUUGCAUUUCUGUAUUUCAUUUAAUAUUUGCAGAGAUGCAACCCCAUAGCCUGUGCAGUCUCCUGCAGCUUUGCUCAGGUUUUCUUCAUGGGAACUGACGGUUCUAAUUCAAAAGCCCUGUUUAUCUUGUUAACUCUUGGAUGGAGUUCUCAGAACCUACAUAAUCCCACACAGUUGGGUUCCCGGUAGGGCAACUAAUACGUCACACAAUCCAGGACAGUUUAAAAGUGAAUAGGAAGGGGAGGAAAUGUAUAAAAAUAGGCCCUGACAGUAGGCCCAAGGGGACGGCUGCCAUCACCUGCCUGACGGGCCCCCCCACUGCCAGCACCACAGGAACACACAGCAACCCCUCAGAGGACAUAUUUAAAAUAUUAACCACCUCCUACCUGGGAAUGCCCCUCAGAAUGUUAAUUAAUGUUUUCUGUGUUAUCUGAUUAUAUAAAGCAACCAUUAAAAAAUGUUUGCCAUUUUA